rnacentral:rRNA from 1 species
UACGGAGGGUGCAAGCGUUAUCCGGAUUCACUGGGUUUAAAGGGUGCGUAGGCGGGUAAGUAAGUCCGUGGUGAAAUCUCUGAGCUUAACUCAGAAACUGCCGUGGAUACUAUUUGCCUUGAAUAUUGUGGAGGUGAGCGGAAUAUGUCAUGUAGCGGUGAAAUGCUUAGAUAUGACAUAGAACACCAAUUGCGUAGGCAGCUCGCUACACGAAUAUUGACUCUGAGGCACGAAAGCGUGGGGAUCAAACAGG